GGAGGCGGGACAUCCGGGGCGUGGUUUAGAAAGCGUUUGCGGUCGCCGUGGGUGCAGCGGGUGGGCCCCCCGGGGCUGGGUGGGGGGCGUGUGAUGACGGUAAUGGCGACGAGAUGCUCUACUCACGCGGCAUCCUUUAAUCCUCACAGCAGCCCUGCGUGGAGAAACUACAGUAACAUUAUCACGUUAAGGCGGGAAACUGAGGUGAUUCCUGCGUGGAUGCCUGCGGGGAUUCCUGCGUGGAUUGGGGAAGUCCUGCAGCAUUACAGAAUUGUUACCCAAUGCCAGGGGCUUGGUCCAGAGUCCUGUUGCUAGAUGCACAGAAAGCAAAUCACCGAGAUCUGGGUCAGGGCUUGUCUGAUGUGGGGAAAGUGGACACCCCCAGUGGAUUCAGACGUCACUUCACGGCAUGAGACCAACAUUACCCACAAUGGCAGUGGCAGCAGAUGGAGGAGAUGGAGCAGAAGGCAGCAGAGGGCGUCCCAGAGUUUUCUGAAGGUGAAAAUAUCCAGAUGAAGCAGGGCUCCUUGAAGGAAUGGCUGCUUCUGGAGUUGGAGCAGGGGAGAUACAAGAUGAGCCUGGAGCUGCUUGUAGCACCAGAGGGGAAGGAGGUGGUCACAAGCCAAGAGGCUGGGACAUCUUACGUGGGCUCCUGAGCCCGAGCCUCAGACAAACCACACGACCUUGGAUUACAGCCCCUGGAGUCAAAUAAAUAUACCUGAGUCCAUAGUGACCUAAA
rnacentral:antisense_RNA from 1 species